AUUGAACGCUGGCGGCAGGCCUAACACAUGCAAGUCGAGCGAGCGGCGGACGGGUGAGUAAUGUUUGGGAAACUGCCUGAUGGAGGGGGAUAACUACUGGAAACGGUAGCUACUACCGCAUACCAUCAGAUGUGCCCAGAUGGGAUUAGCUAGUGGGUGGGGUAACGGCUAACCUAGGCGACGAUCCCUAGCGGGUCUGCGAGGAUGACCAGCCACACUGGGACUGAGACACGGUCCAGACGCCUACGGGAGGCAGCAGGGGGGAAUAUGGCACAAUGGGCGCAAGCCUGAUGCAGCCAGGCCGCGUGUAUGAAGAAGGCCUUCGGGUUGUAAAGUACUUUCAGCGGGGAGGCGUUACCCACAGAAGAAGCACCGGCUAACUCCGUGCCAGCAGCCGCGGUAAUAC
rnacentral:rRNA from 1 species